rnacentral:tRNA from 1 species
GCCCUGGUGGUGCAGUGGUUAAGCACUCAGCUGUUAACUGAAAGGGUGGUGGUUUGAACCCACCCAGAGGCU